UUAAAAGAGACUGAAACUACUUCAACAACUUGUUUAUAUUUCAUAUAAACUAUACAUUCAUUUGGGAAAUGACAUCAAAUGGGACAAUUCAAGGAGAAUAAAACAAUUGCAAUAGUAUUGUAAUAGUUGG